UCCGGUUUAUCACCGGCAGUCUCCACAGAGUUCUCGACUCUACUCGUUAGCAACUGUGGACAAGGGUUGCGCUCGUUGCGGGACUUAACCCAACAUCUCACGACACGAGCUGACGACAGCCAUGCACCACCUGUGAAAGUGCCCCGAAGGGAGACUGUGUUUCCACAGCUGUCACAAACAUGUCAAGCCCAGGUAAGGUUCUUCGCGUUGCGUCGAAUUAAACCACAUGCUCCGCUGCUUGUGCGGGUCCCCGUCAAUUCCUUUGAGUUUUAGCCUUGCGGCCGUACUCCCCAGGCGGGGUACUUAGUGCGUUAGCGUCGGCACAGGGGGAGUCGACACCCCCUACACCUAGUACCCAUCGUUUACGGCGUGGACUAC
rnacentral:misc_RNA from 1 species